UAUAAGAGAAGGUCUUAUAAACACAUAACUGAUGGUGCAAAAUAACAGAGGGGUAUGUUCCUUAAGCAGGGAUUCCCUUAAGCAGUGUUUCUUGAGCUUAAGAUGUAUUCAAUUAUAUAAAGUAUAUAGAUAGUAAGUGGGGACAACCUUAAAUACAUGCCUUAAAGAGCACCCCUCUAGAAUUCCACACCCACUUAGCCUAAACUGGA